UGAUAGGUGAUUGAAAGAUAUGACUAGGCGGGAAGGCCAGUCUCGUGUCUCCCACUGCUUGUAUGAGAAGGGCAAAGAGAGAGGCUUGAAUGCUCUUUCCAUCCUUCCCCUGUAGCUUGUUUCCGGAGCUCAUCUUCAUCCUUCAACACUCAGCUUCAACGUCACCAUCUCCAGGAAGACUAUGCAGAUAUAUCCAGGUUUGCAUGAACAGAAAAGAAGAGGGGUGGUGAGCAAAGAAAUGAGCUCCAUCUCUAUCUGUAGACUCUGACCCUGGCUGAUUCCUUUGUGCACUGUGACAAAUGGAGACACAGAAGAUGGAAAACCACAUUCCUAAUUUCUUUCCCUGACAGACACCUAUUAGCAUUCUGUAUUGCAAAGAAGACCUGAAAGACGUGGAUGCAAAUAUCAUCAAGGCAGCAUCUCUGCAUCCACAGGAAGACAAUUAAACACACACAAGUUGCCUACACCUCCAGCCUCAGACAAGCUCCAAGGGCUGCCUUGAAGUCCUUCAGUCAAUAAGAUUUUUUUUUUUGUUUUACCUUUUUGUAUCCUCAAAAUAAAAGUCACAAGACAUUAAUAAAAAAGCAAGUUGAUCCAUA
rnacentral:lncRNA from 10 species